rnacentral:rRNA from 1 species
UACGGAGGGUGCAAGCGUUAAUCGGAAUUACUGGGCGUAAAGCGCACGCAGGCGGUUUGUUAAGUCAGAUGUGAAAUCCCCGGGCUCAACCUGGGAACUGCAUCUGAUACUGGCAGACUAGAGUCUAGUAGAGGGGGGUAGAAUUCCAGGUGUAGCGGUGAAAUGCGUAGAGAUCUGGAGGAAUACCGGUGGCGAAGGCGGCCCCCUGGACAAAGACUGACGCUCAGGUGCGAAAGCGUGGGGAGCAAACAGG